CCCGCCGCCCGCCAGUGCAGCUCUAUUCCCGCCUGCCUUCUCCUCACCAAUGCCGGGCGCCACAUAGACGAAGUAGAGGAAAGAGGAGGAGAGCGAGAAGAAGAAUAGGGCGGCCAGGAGCGAGCGCCGAGGAAGCCGCCAGGGCCUCCGAGGACUCCGCUGCCACCGCAUGGUCUGGCCCCUCCACGCCCCCGCCGCCGUUCAAGGAGAUCCCACUGAGGCGGCGGCGGCGGCUGGCGACGCCGCUGACUGAGGCGGCAGCUGACUCUGGAGGAGCGGCGGCUCCUCCUCCCUCAGUCCUUCCUCAGUCCCUUUUUUCCUUCCGCGCCUCUCCGUCGACGACGUUGCAUGAAUGAGGAGCCGACCUCCGAGGAUGCUCGAUAAACACCCUCCUCUUUUUUUCCCGGCCUUCCCUUUUAUUCUUCUUCCUUCUCCUCUUCCCCGUUGUCGCUGCCGAGGCUGCAGCCACCGGCGAAGCGAGGCUGUGGGGCAGCUAGUCAUGGUUGAUGCCCAUCAAGACUGAUAGGGCAGAAGGCAGGGAUACUAUUGGUGGACGGAGGAGCCAGAGCCAAUGACAGGUUGAGACACCCCUGACUGGGUGUAACUUGUAAGGAAGAAGGGUGGCUGAGGUCAGACUGAGGUCAUGCCCAAUUUGCCCAAGAGAAGACCAGCAUGCACUGGAUCUACUGCACUUUUGCAGGUGAAUAAACAGGAUGCACAAAAGGACGUAGGAGAGCAUACAAAAGCUUAUGCCAUAUUA